GUGAAGCGACGUGGACGUGAAAAGGCAGCUUUUCCACACAGUGAUCUAAGAAUUACUGACGAUCACGCCGUGUAAGAAAAUAAUUAUGACGUGUCUAGCUAGCUAAACUAUAAUGAAUUCCUUUCAAAUUAUAAAGGUGGCGCAGGCGUCCAACAAGCAGACGCAGCGUUGACGAAGCCAGGAAAACAACAUGAAAUGUGGUUACUGUGUUUACAUUUCUGUCGGCUACGACUGCUACGACUCGUAGUUAUACGGUUAAACAUUCUUCUGUUCUGCAGUCAAGUAUAGGCGAAGAUCGAACGUCGUUGGUGUGUUCGCAAUGUGCGGAUGACGCAUCGAAAGUGACCAUAGAAAGCGCCCAGCCAAGGUCCGGAUCGCAGUGAAUGUAUACGCGCCCUCGAAUCGGGGAAAUCGGCGCCAGCGAAGGCGGACGGACGCCUCUACGCAACGAGGAGAGGCCUCUGCACAACUGCGUCGUCAUAGCAGCAUUCACGCUGUGGCUGUUCAUCCUGGCGCGGAGCUGAAGGCCGUGAAAACUAUGCAUACGAGCAACAACACACACUAUAUAUUCACUCGUAUGGCACGACGUACCUACUCCACACAAUUGCAAUACCUGUACAGGGGCCCGGAGAGAGCAAAAUGUAUAUGGAGAAGAAAUUCGCACUCAGCAUGUAGCCGACCAUUCCAAAGGCUCUUCCAACACCCCACUUGCUUCAAAUCAGGAGUUAAAAAAAAAAAAAACGCGAAUUUCAUCCAUGAUGUACGCCACAUCAGCGCUGUCUACUCUUAUACGCGAUGUAUUUUUGAGGAGUGCCGAAAAUUAUUAAAUAUAGAGCGCUCAAAAUAAAAACGCGAUCUUUUUAAAGAAGCCGGACAAUAGAGAACGGCGGAUUUCGGAAAACAGACUACGGUCCUAUUUUUCUCGCUAAUUAGUUAUAUGCACUAAUUAACCUUAACUAUCGCGUUUAUAUGGCUUCACAGAAUGUAAACUUCCUGGCAAUUGACGCCGUGAUCUUAUAUAUGUUUUCAAAUUGCGCUAUAAGUCCUCCUCCUCGGUCCUGCAUGCUGCAGAAGAAAUUUUCUUACAUCUUCCGCUGGGAAACUGAAACUGGGCGCAUGUGGGGAAACCACGUGUGCAAACCGUACCACGCAAUGCGAGCCACCUUCAUUACUUCGAUGUGGCGAUUACGGCUUAUGAAGUAUCCUUGGCUUCACUGUGACGUUGGCACUGCAGAAUAUGGGCAAUGACCUAUCAUUGACCCCGCUAAUGUAAUUCUUUCCUUACUGCAAGAAAUGUGCUCAUUUUCGGUGA